rnacentral:rRNA from 1 species
UGCAGAGGGGGCAAGCGUUGUUCGGAAUUACUGGGCGUAAAGGGCGCGUAGGCGGCCUGUUAAGUCGAACGUGAAAUCCCCGGGCUCAACCCGGGAACUGCGUCCGAUACUGGCAGGCUUGAAUCCGGGAGAGGGAUGCGGAAUUCCAGGUGUAGCGGUGAAAUGCGUAGAUAUCUGGAGGAACACCGGUGGCGAAGGCGGCAUUCUGGACCGAUAUUGACGCUGAGGAGCGAAAGCCAGGGGAGCAAACGGG